rnacentral:rRNA from 1 species
CCUACGGGUGGCAGCAGUGGGGAAUAUUGGGCAAUGGGCGCAAGCCUGACCCAGCAACGCCGCGUGAAGGAAGAAGGCUUUCCGGUUGUAAACUUCUUUUAUUGAGGACGAAACAAAUGACGGUACUCAAUGAAUAAGCCACGGCUAACUACGAGCCAGCAGCCGCGGCAAUACGUAGGUGGCAAGCGUUAUCCGGAUUUACUGGGUGUAAAGGGCGUGUAGGGGGGACUGGUUGUCAGGUGGGAAAACCAUGGGCUCAACCCAUGGCCUGCAUUUGAAACCGUAGGGCUUGAGUGAGGGAGAGGCAGGCGGAAUGCGGUGUGUAGCGGUGAAAUGCGUAGAUAUACGGAGGAACACCGGUGGCGAAGGCGGCCUGCUGGACAUUAACUGACGCUGAGGCGCGAAAGCGUGGGGAGCGAACAGGAUUAGAUACCCUUGUAGUC